AUACUUGACAACUUCCCCUACAUAGUAAGUGUUUGCAAACAGCUUUCUCACUUUCCGCUCUUCUAGCCAUUUCCCAAAGCGAUGGUCAACUCGAGAUCACGAAGCAUCUCUUACUGCAAGUUGUGAACCAGAUGUGAAUUCAGGAGGCAAGUCUGGGACACGAUUGGUAAUGAUGGCAGGCUCUCUGGGUACUUUAACAAUAGGUUCAGUGUAUGGCUCUUGCAUGCCCUUACUCCCCUCCAUGACCUGAUAUUGCACCAAUUUCUAGGAUUUAACCAAAACAAACUAGAGCAGAAAUAAAGUAGUUUCAUCUAUAAGAUGAGUCAUCAUAAGCAAGAAAAGUCAAAAAUAAGUCGUCAUAAACCAAAUACUUUCACAGCUACAAUGCAGUAUUUUGACGAUCCAGGCAUGUUGAAACAUAAGAGAUACCAACCAACACUUGGGAUUUAGGAAGCAUGGCACAUCGCACCAGUGUUACAGGUAUCAUGUCAUAAUAGGCAUCAGGUCUCAACGCAGCAGUCUGGCACUCAGGUGAAGUACAUAUGUAUUAAGGAUAUUAUUUUUUCAAUAACAUGUGAUGUGUUCUGAUACAUGGUGUGAAGUGUACAAUAUACUACUGUAUCAAGAGAUAAAAAUCCCAUUCCCCACUGGCCACUAUCUACAAACAACAUAGUAAUGCAGCUACAGCAUGCCUAUUGUGUACAAUGUCCAAUGUAUACAAACAACAUGGCAAUGCACGCUAUCUCCACACAUAUCAACUGGACAGUAAAAUGCCCACUGUACACAUGCUUCAACUGAAAAACUGAUUUUUUUUUAGAACAGCAGCCAAUAGCAUCAGCAGAACCACCCAUCCAUGGCACAACAGAACAGUAGCACAAGCAGCAGCACAACACCAGUAGCUCAAGCGGGAGCAGCUAGCACACGCACGAGAGUGGAAGAGGAGCUCAUCGAGGCGGCUUCCGGUGAUGAGGCAGAUCCAGGUCGGCGGCCGGCCGGCUUUUGAGAGGAGGGAGAGGCGGGUCGUUGUCGAGGAGCGCGACAUCCAGAGGAAGAGAGAGUGCUUCGGCGUCCCGCCUGGAUGAUCGUGCUUACCACCAAAUUUUCAAUGGCCUUCAUUAGUCAAUUUCUUCACAGAAUGGCGUACUAUACGUUUUCUUGUGUUUAAUCAGCAUGCUCGCAUAAGUGGACUCACUAUAAACACGUACGCGGGCAUGGCGUAUGCGGUGGCGGCCAGGACUUUGGCCAUCAGCGUGAACUCGAUGUUUUGUGGUCUGAUUUCAGCUUGAUUUUGUUUUGUUUCACUUGCUAUCUGCAGCCUCUUAGACUCUAGGUAGAAAGUGUUUAAAAGAGUUGACUUGUUAGUUUCCUAAAAAUUUCUUCCAUGAAAGAAUAUGAUUACGAUCUUUAGGGUUGUUUUGCUGUUCCAAAGGCACAUGGGAGUCUGCGGGAAAAAAGCUGACGAUGUUUUCUCUUGGAUAUUAAGAAAAGGGAGACACUCGGCGAUCUGGCUCUGCGGCAGUGGGCUUGGAGCUGGGGUCAUCCUUCUCACCACCAGUGGAACAUACUACUUCGUCCACCAUGUCGAGCGAUAUAAAACUGUUAUCUGUUUCAUAGAGCAACAACACGAGAUUGUGCCCCCUCUUGAUCCUGGUGCAUAUUGCUGCCCUCCUCCCCCCUUUUGAUUCGAGUUUCUUUACAUUGUGUGAAGUUGUGUACUUCCAACUUUACAAAGCUAUACCAAAUUCGCAACUGUACUUGGCUAUACCUGUAAGUGAUGCAUUUCUCUGCAGGUUACUGACACUUUCUGAAAAAGUAUGGAUAUUGAAUGGAAGACGGGAGAAUGAUUGAUGAAAA